rnacentral:lncRNA from 1 species
UGUCUGUUUUUUCUGCUGUCUAGUUAUAACAGUUAGAACUUUUUCUUUCACUUGUCUUCUUUCGUUGACAAUUUUCCAGGUAUUUUCUGACAUCCAUUGCUUGCGGUUUUGUUGGAGAUAGCCGACAGUUUCUUCACAUGCUUGAACAAUAGAAUCUCUGGUCAUUUCCCAUGCUGUGUUGAUGCUAGUUUCGUCAUCAUGUAGA